AUUGAACGCUGGCGGCAGGCCUAACACAUGCAAGUCGAGCGGAUGAAGGGAGCUUGCUCCUGGAUUCAGCGGCGGACGGGUGAGUAAUGCCUAGGAAUCUGCCUGGUAGUGGGGGAUAACGUCCGGAAACGGGCGCUAAUACCGCAUACGUCCUGAGGGAGAAAGUGGGGGAUCUUCGGACCUCACGCUAUCAGAUGAGCCUAGGUCGGAUUAGCUAGUUGGUGGGGUAAAGGCCUACCAAGGCGACGAUCCGUAACUGGUCUGAGAGGAUGAUCAGUCACACUGGAACUGAGACACGGUCCAGACUCCUACGGGAGGCCGCAGUGGGGAAUAUUGGACAAUGGGCGAAAGCCUGAUCCAGCCAUGCCGCGUGUGUGAAGAAGGUCUUCGGAUUGUAAAGCACUUUAAGUUGGGAGGAAGGGCAGUAAGUUAAUACCUUGCUGUUUUGACGUUACCAACAGAACAAGCACCGGCUAACUUCGUG
rnacentral:rRNA from 1 species